GACAUAAAAUGAUCUCAUAAAACGGAUGGACGGGGUGGAUUUCUUACAGACAUUACGGUGGGCCCCACGCAGCAUCCCAGUGCAUGAAGUUCCUGCCAAUUGCUUUCGCUGUCCCGGCAAAUUCCUUCUGUAUUUUUGCCGCCAACGUCGUUUCCCGCCCUUCCGUUUUUUCAGCUCAUUUCCCUUCCAAAAUAAGCCCUAUUCUCUCUCUCUCACUCUCUCUCUCAGAAACCAUAGAAUAGAGAAAAAGAUGUUCUACUCUCACAGCUUUCUUGCCAGGAAAAGCCCUCUCGGAACGAUUUGGAUAGCUGCUCAUCUCCAGCACAAGCUCCGCAAAUCCCAUGUCGUUGUCACUGACAUCUCUUCAUCCGUUGAUCGCAUCAUGUUUCCUGAAGUCCCAAUUGCGCUGAGGUUAUCGGGUCAUCUUCUACUGGGUGUUGUCAGAAUAUACUCGAAGAAGGUUGACUAUCUUUACCAUGAUUGCAAUGAGGUCCUGACCCAUCUCAGGGCUGCAUUCGCCUCGAUACAAGUCAAUUUGCCGGAAGACGCAAACCAUGCGUCGUUUCACUCCGUCACGCUGCCAGAGACCUUUGAACUUGAUAUAUUGGACUUGGAUGACACAAUAUACCAGACCCAGGGCCCAGAUAAUCAUCUCAAAACUCUCGAGGAGAUCACCAUCACAGAUCAGAUCCCGGGUGAAGGAGAUCCAUAUGUCACUUUUUUUAUCAAUGAGGAUAUUAUGAUGGACACAUCUCCAGUAGACCUUCAAAACCCUGGUGCUGGACCAAUGGAAGAAGAUGUCGUCCCUCCACUUUCAGGGUCCAAUGGUGUGGGCAGUACAGAUUCUGGCCCGAGUAAUCCUGCUGAAGAAUCCAACCAGAAGCUUUGUGAUGACCGUUUCCAUGAAGAUCUUCCGGAGAUUGAGAUCCCUCGGGAUGCUGUACAUCUUGAGUCAGGAAACAUUCCAGAGUUCCCAGAUUUCGGUGACAACACUGUUGAACAGCACGAGCCUUUUGAUCCAACCUUGAAUCAGAAAGAGAUCCUUUCUCCCAUUAUGGAAGAAAGAGAAUCUCUGCCAUCUCGGCUGCACCCAACACCGCCUAUUGCUGGAUCUGCAGGGGAACCUGAAAAUUUUGAUCCAAGUAUUUCUUUCGGUCAUGAAUUACCUGAAAUGGUAUUACAACCGACUCCGCCUGUUGACAAGAAAAAAGCCAAGUCAAGGAAGAGAAAACAAUUCUUUGAUGAGUCCUUGGUAUUCACAAAUGAGUUCAUGAGAAAACAGCUUGAGGAUACUAGUAAAUUGGUGUGCAAACGCAAGAAACUCCCUGUGUCAGCUCUAGAUGUUUGGAGAUUCCACAAGUUCCGUCAAAUGGAGCAUGUCUUUCUUGAGCCUUCACUUUCUGGAAUGUCUGCCGACCUUCAGGAAGUUUUCAAGAAGACUUACACUGCUUCGGCAGUCGAUCCUACUCCCACAGAAGCUCCUCCGGAACCCAGGAAUGCAGAAUCUCCUGCUGGCAUGCCUGCCUCAGAUAUGGAAAUUGAACAUCCUCGGUUUCAGGAAGAUCACUUUGAUGGUCUUUUACCUGAAUUCAUGCCAUAUCCGUCUGGUAGAGAAGAAACGACGCCGUUGCCUGCCAGCAAUUUGGCAUCAGUGUCUCAAUUAGGAAGGCCUCAGGAGACUGAACUACUGCCAACACCAGAAUUGUCAGGGUAUGCUGAUCCGGCUGACCCUGAGUCUCAAACGCCUAUGGUUCCUUCAGAAGAGAGACUACCUCUACGGGACACUAGUCUCUCACGGAUACCAGAUUUGCUGAAUUCUGCAGAAUCACCGGUUCCUCGUCUAAGGGAACAACUAUCUGUAGGGGAAGCUGGUGUCCCUUGGGGUUCAAAUACGCUGAAUUCUGCAGAAGCAGAAGAGCUAAAUUUUUUGGAAGCAGAUAACAGUAAUGCACAAUCUGGUGGGCGCGCAGAAAGUGAUGUCGAUUCAUUGUCUGUGAGGACCAGGGCUGUGGCUCGAUAUCUGAAAAAUCAAUCUCCUGCAACUCAAAUUUCAAAAGGCCAGUCAGGACAUCUGAGCUUGAACAGGAUCCUAGAAGGGAAAACAAGGAAACAGUGUGCAAGAAUGUUUUUUGAAACACUGUCAAUUGUAGGUUUUGAAGAGUUACAGGUUCAUCGAUGUGCAACAAGAAGAAGCUUAUGGUGAUAUUACCCUAUUGCUGACACCAACACUCUCCAAAGCGAAAUUCUGAAGCCAUUGAUGCUUCUUCUUGGCAUCCCUUCUUGUUGAGAGUUUCAGGAAGUUUUGGGGAUGUUGCUAACUUGACUGUACAGGUGAAGGUGGAGAGUUUGGUUUCUGCAGCAGUAUAAGGACAGUCCCACCAAGAGGCCUUUUUUAUUUAUGUAUUAUUUUCUUUUUUCUUUCCUUCUUUCUUUUGGGUAGGCAAGCUGGGCUCGAACCUGAGACCUCAAUGUUGAAACUCGGACCGUUACCAUUCAGCUGCGGAUUCGACCCACUUUGGUUCAACUCAAGAGAGCAGGCUUUCCGAUGGCAAACUCAAGUUAGCAUGUUUCCUACCUUUUGUCACAAUGGGUAUGGCUACUUGUUGUAAUUAAUGUAAUUACCUGUUCUUUUCUUAAUAGAAUUAGGGUGUGUUUUGCA